rnacentral:rRNA from 1 species
AAAAGCGAACUACACACUUAAUUUUUAUAUGCUAACAACCACUAAGGCCCUGUAUAAUUGGUUUUAGGUUGGGGCGACCACGGAGUACAACAAAACCUCCACAAUGAAUGGGACCACCCCCAUAUGUAAGAGUCACCACUCCAAGAAUUAAAAUAUUAACAUAAAAUGAUCCAUUUUUUGAUCAAUGAACCAAGUUAACCUGGGGAUAACAGCGCAAUGCAUUUCAAGAGUCACUAUCGACAAAUGGGUUU